UACGAAGGGUGCAAACGUUGCUCGGAAUUAUUGGGCGUAAAGCGCACGUAGGCGGCUCUGCAAGUCGGAUGUGAAAUCCCUCGGCUCAACCAAGGAAGUGCAUCCGAAACUGCGGAGCUUGAGUACUUAAGAGGAUCGCGGAAUUCCCGGUGUAGAGGUGAAAUUCGUAGAUAUCGGAAGGAACAUCAGUGGCGAAAGCGACUUCCUGGACCAAUACUGACGCUCAUGUGCGAAAGCGUGGGGAGCAAACAGG
rnacentral:rRNA from 1 species